GCCACGGGGUGGGCUGGAGACUGGAGCCCCAAACAGGCCUGAAAACACGGCCCCAGAUCCCUAGUCACCCCACCGUCAUUAACAGCUGCUGCAGACCCUAAGGAGCUAUGUUUGAAGUGAGCACAACUCAGUCCAAAUUCAGAAGUGAUGAGACAGGCUGGAUGAGAUAAGUGUACAUGAAUAGGUAAAAGAAACAAACAAAAACCACUGCGUCAAAUGUCUGGAGUCCUAAGAAUUGCUAUUUUGAAACGGGGUGCCAUUUUCAGAUUAAUAUGCUAAAGAGUUAAGCCUACUGGGGACAAUCCCUAGGAAAGUCAGGAAAAGUAGGGGUGCCUGCAGGCAGUUAUCAGGGUCCCCUCUCCAGCCGUCAGACGCCCCCGGAAACUGAGACUCUCUCCAGAGCAGGAGCUCAGCUACUGGAUCAGCUGAGUCAUCUACUGUUCAAAGCCUCAUUACUCUCAAAGUCCAAGGGAAGGACCGGGCUUAAGGAUGAACAGCAAGUCAUCUGUAAAGGAGAAGGGCAUCCAUGUCUUUGGGAAUGAGAGGAACAUCAUAAGCUCUUUGAGUAAAAAAGUGGCACCAAAACAAAUAAAUGUGUCAUUUGA